rnacentral:lncRNA from 1 species
CCUUUUCAUUAUUAAAAUUUGGAGCAGUUUGUCAGACGGUACAUUCAAUUGUACCAAGACUUUCAAACUUAUUGUCGGGAAGCAAUCCAGAGCAUCGGGUUUAAAAGUAAAAGGAGAACUACAGCUUCGUUGUGAACAUUGCUAUUUUGUUGCAAGACGUGAAAGAUGGUAUGUAAUGUGUAGAAAGUCACCUAGGCAUAAACAA